GACAUCAGAACGCACAUGGAGGUUGUCCACGGGAACUGAGAGCUGAGGGAGCAAAGAGCCACCCUGUUGGUGAUGACCAAGAGGGAAGACAUCUGAGAGAAAAUGGGAACAGCAUCUGUUGUGCUUGGUUAUGGUACGAGCCAGGGUGGAUAGGAGAUGAAGGCGUGUGGUAGCAUCUGACGGGAACGGAAGGCAUCUGGAGAGAGGAACAAGUGGCCAAGAAAAGAAGCCGUGGCAUCCACCUUGCCGCCAAGGCGACCCAGCCAUUUCUUCCCAUGGCUUUGACAUGAGGGACAGACCGCCAAUCUGGAGGGUGAAAACAAUGGAUGAAUAUCCAAGUUCUUGAACCACAAGACCUUCCAGAGUCUGAACGUGACCCAACUGCCUCAUCAUCUACCCCCAUGCUCUCCCCCCCAGAUCUCGGCCAUCCCCUUCUAAUUCCUGGUUAUGGCAGACUGUUCUUGAUUCUUCGGGCCACCAUGUACUGUGUCCUUUCCUAGUUUGGAAAGCAUCCUCCACAGGUGAUUUUUCUAUUUGUGAGAGUCUCACCUAUCUUUGGUUGUAAUGUCAAAGGCCGCUUUAUUCUUGAAGCAUUUCCACUGUGCCUGGGUAGAAACCCUUGCUUCUGUCACA